rnacentral:tRNA from 1 species
GGGAUUGUGGCUCAGUGGUAGAGUGCUUGCUUAGUGUGCAUGGAGCCCGGAGUUCAAAUCCUCAGUGCCA